CAAGAGCGUAUGUAAAAGUUGUUGCAGUUAAAAAGCUCGUAGUUGAACCUUGGGUUUGGUUGGCCGGUCCGCUUUUUUGCGAGUACUGGAUUCAACCGAGCCUUUCCUUCUGGCUAACCAGUCGUUUCGGCGGCUGGCGAACCAGGAUUUUUACUUUGAGAAAAUUAGAGUGUUCAAAGCAGGCAUUAGCUUGAAUAUAUUAGCAUGGAAUAAUAGAAUAGGACGUUAUGGUUCUAUUUUGUUAGUUUCUAGGACCAUCGUAAUGAUUAAUAGGGACGGUCGGGGGCAUCAGUAUUCAGUUGUCAGAGGUGAAAUUCUUGGAUUUACUGAAGACUAACUACUGCGAAAGCAUUUGCCAAGGACGUUUUCAUUAA
rnacentral:rRNA from 1 species